AUGUUAGAUUGUAAACUGUCAUGGUCAAAACAUAUUGAUACAACAGUAUCUAGGAUGGAGAGAAGUCUGUCUAUAUUAAAGCGCUGCUCUACCUUCUUAACAACACUAUCAACAAGGCAGGUCCUACAGGCCCUAGUUUCUACCUUCUUAACAACACUAUCAACAAGGCAGGUCCUACAGGCCCUAGUUUCUACCUUCUUAACAACACUAUCAACAAGGCAGGUCCUACAGGCCCUAGUUUCUACCUUCUUAACAACACUAUCAACAAGGCAGGUCCUACAGGCCCUAGUUUCUACCUUCUUAACAACACUAUCAACAAGGCAGGUCCUACAGGCCCUAGUUUCUACCUUCUUAACAACACUAUCAACAAGGCAGGUCCUACAGGCCCUAGUUUCUACCUUCUUAACAACACUAUCAACAAGGCAGGUCCUACAGGCCCUAGAUUCUACCUUCUUAACAACACUAUCAACAAGGCAGGUCCUACAGGCCCUAGUUUCUACCUUCUUAACAACACUAUCAACAAGGCAGGUCCUACAGGCCCUAGAUUCUACCUUCUUAACAGCACUAUCAACAAGGCAGGUCCUACAGGCCCUAGUUUCUACCUUCUUAACAACACUAUCAACAAGGCAGGUCCUACAGGCCCUAGAUUCUACCUUCUUAACAACACUAUCAACAAGGCAGGUCCUACAGGCCCUAGUUUCUACCUUCUUAACAACACUAUCAACAAGGCAGGUCCUACAGGCCCUAGUUUCUACCUUCUUAACAACACUAUCAACAAGGCAGGUCCUACAGGCCCUAGUUUCUACCUUCUUAACAACACUAUCAACAAGGCAGGUCCUACAGGCCCUAGUUUCUACCUUCUUAACAACACUAUCAACAAGGCAGGUCCUACAGGCCCUAGAUUCUACCUUCUUAACAACACUAUCAACAAGGCAGGUCCUACAGGCCCUAGUUUCUACCUUCUUAACAACACUAUCAACAAGGCAGGUCCUACAGGCCCUAGAUUCUACCUUCUUAACAGCACUAUCAACAAGGCAGGUCCUACAGGCCCUAGUUUCUACCUUCUUAACAACACUAUCAACAAGGCAGGUCCUACAGGCCCUAGUUUCUACCUUCUUAACAACACUAUCAACAAGGCAGGUCCUACAGGCCCUAGUUUCUACCUUCUUAACAACACUAUCAACAAGGCAGGUCCUACAGGCCCUAGUUUCUACCUUCUUAACAACACUAUCAACAAGGCAGGUCCUACAGGCCCUAGUUUCUACCUUCUUAACAACACUAUCAACAAGGCAGGUCCUACAGGCCCUAGAUUUGUUGCACCUUGACUACUGUUCAGUCGUUUGGUCAGGUGCCACAAAAAAGGACUUAGGAAAAUUGCAAUUGUCUCAGAACACAGAGAGCUAA
ensembl:lncRNA